UGUUUCAGAACUCUCAGUCAUAAUCCUCUGACAACUGUUGAAGAUUCAUAUCUUUUUAAAUUGCCAGCAUUAAAAUAUCUAGACAUGGGAACAACUCAAGUAUCACUUUCGACAAUUGAGAAUAUCCUCCUGAUGACUCUUGAAUUGGAAAAACUGAUCUUACCUAGCCAUUUGGCCUGCUGCCUCUGCCAGUUUAAAAAUAAUAUUGAAGUUGUCUGCAAGACAGUGAAGCUGCAAUGUGACAGUGCAUGUCGGACAAACAAUACACGUUGCCGUGAGUCUGAAUUGCCUGAUGAGAAAUGUUUUAACUUUUGUUUUGUUAUUCAACUUUUAACUGGUGAUCAUAGAUUUUUCAAACUAAUGAUGAAACUGCUUUAUUUUUAUUUAUUUGUCUAGAAUUCAACUCCCUAAAUUUCUGGAUUGCUCUCUUGCUCAAAGUGAGGUUUUCAGCUAUAAUUUAAUAAUAUAGCUAUUCCAUAUGCCUAAGGAUGAAGAGAAAGGAAUAGAAGGGAGAAGGAAUAAUAUUAAUGGCCACACAUGGUGUCCUGUGCUUUCUGCUUGGUACUUUGUUUUCCAGUGAUAACUUAUUCAUAUAGUACAAUGCAGUUAGUAAGCUGUUUUUUUAAUACACUAGGUCUCAAGUGUCCUCUGCCUUAUAGGGCAGGCAUCAAUCUAUUUUGUUCUGUUUGUGCAACUUUAUAAAAGAGAAUAAAUAUUUUAUUUGAAGUCUAGGAGUUUCUGAUUCUAUAAUAAGAAAUUGCACCUAGACCAUCCAACUCUGAACUUCUCUUAAUCUCAAACUUUUCUAUCCUCAGGUAAUUCAUGUGCUUUCAAAUGUUUUUCUGUGUAUUAGGUUUAUUAGCACUAAUUUCAUGACUUUCAAAAUGUGGUUGCUUUCAUAUCCAAAUAGCUCAAAUAUAGGUCUCUACCAGUGAUCUUGGGCAAAUUAUAACUAAUAGCACUUUGCUACUUACAUGCAUAUAACUUAUUUUUCAAAAUGAUUUUUCACCAGUUACAUUAUUUCCUUUUUCCCCAGAGGUGAGCAGAACAAGUAUUUUUCAUCUUCAUUUACAGAUAAGGAAAACAAGAUGGGAGGUGUCAAGUGCUAUAGCCUUGAACCCAGGUCUUCUGUACCCAAUUCUAACCCACAUUCCUCUUUUGUCUCCAACCUUACCUCCUCCUUGACUCUCACCACACAAAAAAAUACUUUUAGCUCUCCUGGGAAAGAAACCAGCUAUUGCUGGGUAUGAUGGACUGUAAUCCCAGUGGCUUGGGAGGCUGAGGCAGGAGGAUUGUAAAUUCAAAGCCAGCCUCAGUAACUUA